UAUGGGCAUAGAAACUUAUUGAGUAGUGAUCCCAAACCAAACAUGAGACCAAACUUGCUGCCUGGAAAUCAUCAAAGUGCUGAUGAUAGGUUUAUGAUUGGCAUAGGUGGAACCCAUCAGAAGGUACAAGUGAGAGGAACUCUAAAACAGUGACAGGAAUACAAUAACUAUUUGACAGUAAGACAGGAGAAGUCAAGAUGUUGAACAAUUAAGAAAAGAAUGUGAUGCCAAUGGAAGACACUUGACUUUAACCAGCAUAAAGGUCACCAUAUCUUCAUGUCACUUGCUUUCUUUGAAAAUAAGAUACAAGUGUUACACCUGGAAACAAUAAGGCUCAUACUGUAAAGCCUUAGAUGAAGGGAUACAGAAUAUGAUAUAAAUUUCAGCACAUGGAGAGCCCUG
rnacentral:lncRNA from 10 species